rnacentral:piRNA from 1 species
UACAUUUUUUGAAGUGGUCUUUUUUUU